rnacentral:lncRNA from 1 species
CUGUGCCCAGAGGGCGGAGUUCCUGCACAUUCCUACCUCACCGGAGAACCUGCCCUCAACUCCACUUCAGCUACUCCAGAGAGAUGGGACCCUCCAGAAGAAACCUGCCCAGCAAUCCUUCCCGCCAGAAGGUGUUUCCUCCCCCGGCCUUCCCCCUCCCCCUCGGGCUCUUUCGUUUCAAUCGAUGCCAGGAGAAACUGCCUCUACCUGCAAGAAAGGCGCACGACGGCACUUGGGAAUAGGAGUCCUCCGACGGCACCGGGUGAGUGCGGAUUUUACUCCUCUUUUAUUCUCAGGUAUCAAGUAACUUCACGCGCGAUUUUUGUCCUUUGGUACCAGAAGGGGAGAGAGCGCCAUUCCCGCAGAUCCCUGAGCGUGCUCUGCCUUUUUGAAAUAUUACGGGGGCUAGGCAAAAUUCCCCUCCACCACUCAUGUCGGGAGGAAAUUUGGUCCUUUAUCCAUCUCUGCUAUAUGAAAGACGAUUUUAGCAUGGCGAGUAUAGGCGGACUCUGUAAUGAAUUAUUUCUAAAAAUUCUGAGCUUGUCAUUUGAGAAAAAGCUACAGGCUUAUCGCACCUUUUGGGGUUGUGUAAAGAGUGCUAAUAUCUCUAAAUUUCCAGGAAAGCGACUAAAUGCCAAAAAUUUGGGGAGAUCGAGGAAAGAGACCUUGCAAAGAGCCAUACUGAGCUGAAUUUUGCUUUGAGUGCUCUAGUGGAGAAAACGCGCCCUUAAAAGGGAUCACGGGCAGCGUUGAUGUCCAUGAGAGAGCUGCAGGCACUCUCCCUUUGUCUUCCCACUCUCCAAAUUCCAUGACUGAGUUCUGUGUACGUUGAGAUUUACGUGCCGAAAUCUCGGAAUAGGGGCAAAAGUUUAAAUGACUGAUAAAAGUGAUGUGCUCGCUGUGCUCAUCCUUGCGGGUGGGGGCAGGCGCGCUGCUGCGUGGGCAGGACCCGGGAUGGGGCCCUCCGCGGACCGACUCGUUCUUCUUUUGCUGUCCUGCUGUGGCUGAGGGGAAGAGCCGCGUCUGGUGUCCCACCCGGCGGAUGACUUUGACCCCUUUGCUCCUGCUACUUUUGACCUCACGAAAAUAAUUAAUUUUUUUAAUAUACAGCGAGUGGAGUAUUCCGCGACGCUGUGCUCGGGACACCUCAGCGGGGGGGGCAGCGGUACCGAGCGCCCGUCUCUUUCGCAUGGCAGAAACCGGCGCAGGUGCAGGGAGACCAGCGCCCGCACAUGCACAGCUCACGCCGGCGGUGACUUGUGACAGAUCC